rnacentral:rRNA from 1 species
CCUACGGGAGGCAGCAGUGAGGAAUAUUGGUCAAUGGGCGUAAGCCUGAACCAGCUAAUCCGCGUGAGGGAUGAAGGUUCUAUGGAUCUUAAACCCCUUUUAUAAGGGCAUAAAGUGUGGGACUUGUCCUGUUUUGUAUGUACCUUAUGAAUAAGGAACGGCUAACUUCGUACCAGCAGCGGCGGUAAUACGGAGGGUCCGAGCGUUAUCCGGAUUUAUUGGGUUUAACGGUUGGGUAGGCGGCGUUUUAAGUCAGAGGUGAAAGUCUGUGGCUUAACCAUAGAAUGGCCGUUGAAACUGGAAGGCUUGAGUAUGUUUGAGGCAGGCGGAAUGCGUGGUGUAGCAGUGAAAUGCUUAGAUAUCACGCAGAACCCCGAUUGCGAAGGCAGCCUGCCAAGCCAUGACUGACGCUGAUGCACGAAAGCGUGGGGAUCAAACAGGAUUAGAUACCCGAGUAGUC